rnacentral:rRNA from 1 species
AACGAACGCUGGCGGCAUGCCUAACACAUGCAAGUCGAACGAGACCAUCGGGUGUAGUUGCGCACGGGUGUGUAACGCGUGGGAAGCUUCACUUAGGUUCGGAAUAACUCUCCGACAGGGGUGCUAAUACCGGAUAAUUUCUGCGAACCAAAGAUAUAUCGCCUUGGGAUGGGCACGCGUUGCAUUAGCUUUUUGGUAGGGUAAAAGCCUACCAAGGCUAAGAUCCAUAGCUGGGUUGAGAGCAUGAUCAGCCACACUGCGACUGUGACCCGGCCGAGACUCCUGCGGAAGGGAGCAGUGGGGAAUAAUGGACACCGCGUGAAUGAAUGAGCCCGCAGUGCCGCGUAAGUGUUGAAGGACUUAGGAAUGUAAAGCUCUUUUACCCGGGAUGUUAAGGACAGAACCGGGAGAAUAAGCUCCGGCAAACUCCUG